AUAGUAAGGAGUUUAGGGCAAGAUG
rnacentral:piRNA from 1 species